GAGUUUGAUCUUGGCUCAGAUUGAACGCUGGCGGCAGGCCCUAACACAUGCCAAGUCGAGCGGAUGACGGGAGCUUGCUCCUUGAUUCAGCGGCGGACGGGUGAGUAAUGCCUGGGAAUCUGCCUGGUAGUGGGGGACAACGUUUCGAAAGGAACGCUAAUACCGCAUACGUCCUACGGGAGAAAGCAGGGGACCUUCGGGCCUUGCGCUAUCAGAUGAGCCUAGGUCGGAUUAGCUAGUUGGUGGGGUAAUGGCUCACCAAGGCGACGAUCCGUAACUGGUCUGAGAGGAUGAUCAGUCACACUGGAACUGAGACACGGUCCAGACUCCUACGGGAGGCAGCAGUGGGGAAUAUUGGACAAUGGGCGAAAGCCUGAUCCAGCCAUGCCGCGUGUGUGAAGAAGGUCUUCGGAUUGUAAAGC
rnacentral:rRNA from 1 species